CCAAUGGUGUUUUUCAACACCACCCAUCAGAAGAAAUUUGAGCUAU
rfam:Plasmopara halstedii genome assembly, contig: Scaffold_430